AAAAUUUUUUCUUGAUCCUCUCAGUUCUCUUCUUCCUCAGUUGAAACACCCCAGUUCCUGUAAGCAAUGUUAGCAAGCAUGAAAAGAGGAGGACUGUUUCUACACUGAAGCUUGUCAUUAUACCAGCAGUAUCUAAGCUAUACCAGAGAGGCGCUGAAGUUAUACUAGAAAGGACCUAAUGAAAUGUUGAUCCUGAUUCCUCAGGGGUGAGUGCAGUUGU
rnacentral:lncRNA from 1 species